rnacentral:hammerhead_ribozyme from 1 species
AUCCAGCUGACGAGUCCCAAAUAGGACGAAAGGCGCGUACUGGAA